rnacentral:rRNA from 1 species
UCGAACGAAAAGAGGGAAAGAGCUUGCUCUUUCCGGAAUUGAGUGGCAAACGGGUGAGUAACACGUAAACAACCUGCCUUCAGGAUGGGGACAACAGACGGAAACGAUUGCUAAUACCGAAUAAAAUGUAAGAGUCAAUUUUACAUUGAAAGGAGCCUUUAAAGCUUCGCGAUUAGAUGGGCCUGCGGCGUAUUAACUAGUUGGUGAGGUAAUGGCUUACCAAGGUGACGAUGCGUAGCCGAACUGAGAGGUUGAUCGGCCACAUUGGGACUGAGACACGGCCCAAACUCC